GCGAGGAGUCGCCGCCGUUUGUCGCGUCACUUCCGGCCCAUGACUUCCGGGCGUGGCGGCACUUCCGCCCUUUAGCCCUGCCUCUGCUCCCGGCCCGCCCACCCCGGGCCUGCCCGCACCCCGCUGGUUCCCNNNNNNNNNNNNNNNNNNNNNNNNNNNNNNNNNNNNNNNNNNNNACCGGCCUCCAGGGCCGGGCCGGGGCCGGGGCCGGGUCCACGUCCCUCAGGCUGCCCGGCCGCGCGGCGUCUGGCCCGGGGCUCCUCGAACAGGAACUGCCUCUCCAGAGAGCAACCUGAAUUACGGGGGCGAAGGGGACCAGGCGGUGGAAACACAGGAGCUGGAGUCAGGGGGCAGCUGUGACCCCGGCGGGACUGGGUGCAGAGGACCUGCCCGGCUGGGACUGCCUGACCCCCAGCCCCUCCCGGCCUUCACAUGUGACGCCCCACACCACCUCUGAGGGUCUUCACCACUCCCGGGGGCGGCCUUCAGCUCAGGAUUUCAACCCCAGCUCUUGCCCAGUGGUAAGUGUUGUGUCGUGGGGUUGCCUGUCAUCGUGUGGAGAGGACCCGGCCGUCACUCAGCUGUGUGCUGCCCUGCACCUCGUUCUCGCUGCUGGCCCACUUCGCAUGCUGUGAAAAGCCCAGGAUUUCUGUUCCUUCUCUUGUGGUCGCUGAGGGUGUUUCCCAGCUGUCACGACGAGCAGGCCUGUCUCGAUGUCUGUGUGCACGUCUCAUGCAGGACUUCUGGGGGGAGUUCGAGGUCGGAGCUGCUGGUCUGUGGGGUGUGCAGAGGUUUCUGUGCCAAGAUGGAACCAGAUGAUUUCCCGAAGUGCUGUCCCGGUCUGCGCCCCACCGGCAGUGUCUGAGUUCCUCCAGGUCUAAGUCUGUCCAGCAUCUCUGGGUGUUGUCAGACUUGCUGCUCAAAGAGAACUUGCUGUGCUGGCCCAGCUGCACAAGGGAGAGACUGGGUCUGACGGAGCUUGUGAUCUUGGGUGGGGCGGGUCUCACUUGAGAAGUCGUAGCCGCAGGCCUGAUCACCAGGCAGGCGUGGGUUUGUCU
rnacentral:lncRNA from 1 species